GACGAACGCUGGCGGCGUGCUUAACACAUGCAAGUCGAACGGAAAGGCCCUGCUUGCAGGGUACUCGAGUGGCGAACGGGUGAGUAACACGUGGGUGAUCUGCCCUGCACUUCGGGAUAAGCCUGGGAAACUGGGUCUAAUACCGGAUAGGAGCCAUUUUUAGUGUGAUGGUUGGAAAGUUUUUUCGGUGUAGGAUGAGCUCGCGGCCUAUCAGCUUGUUGGUGGGGUAAUGGCCUACCAAGGCGGCGACGGGUAGCCGGCCUGAGAGGGUGGACGGCCACAUUGGGACUGAGAUACGGCCCAGACUCCUACGGGAGGCAGCAGUGGGGAAUAUUGCACAAUGGGCGCAAGCCUGAUGCAGCGACGCCGCGUGGGGGAUGACGGCCUUCGGGUUGUAAACUCCUUUCGCUAGGGACGAAGCUUUUUGUGACGGUACCUAGAUAAGAAGCAUCGGCUAACUACGU
rnacentral:rRNA from 1 species